UGACCUCAAAUCGUGAGACCCAAGGGAUUAAAU
rnacentral:rRNA from 1 species